AUUGAACGCUGGCGGCAGGCCUAACACAUGCAAGUCGAGCGGAUGAAGGGAGCUUGCUCCUGGAUUCAGCGGCGGACGGGUGAGUAAUGCCUAGGAAUCUGCCUGGUAGUGGGGGAUAACGUCCGGAAACGGGCGCUAAUACCGCAUACGUCCUGAGGGAGAAAGUGGGGGAUCUUCGGACCUCACGCUAUCAGAUGAGCCUAGGUCGGAUUAGCUAGUUGGUGGGGUAAAGGCCUACCAAGGCGACGAUCCGUAACUGGUCUGAGAGGAUGAUCAGUCAGAGUGGGACUGAGAAAGAGGCGAAACACCUGCGGGGGCGCGCGGAGGGGGGUGUGGGACAAGGGGCGGAGGGUGGAUCAAGCGAUGCAGUGUGUGUGAAGAAGGUCUACUAAGUGUAGAGCAGUUUAAGUGUGAGGGAAAGGCUGAAAGUUAAUAACUGCCGGUUAUGAGGUGACCAAAAGAAUAAGAGACGGCUCACUAAGUG
rnacentral:rRNA from 1 species